rnacentral:rRNA from 1 species
UACGAAGGGGGCUAGCGUUGCUCGGAAUCACUGGGCGUAAAGCGCACGUAGGCGGAUUGUUAAGUCAGGGGUGAAAUCCUGGAGCUCAACUCCAGAACUGCCUUUGAUACUGGCGAUCUCGAGUCCGGGAGAGGUGAGUGGAACUGCGAGUGUAGAGGUGAAAUUCGUAGAUAUUCGCAAGAACACCAGUGGCGAAGGCGGCUCACUGGCCCGGUACUGACGCUGAGGUGCGAAAGCCAGGGGAGCGAACGGG